AGUGAACGCUGGCGGUAGGCCUAACACAUGCAAGUCGAACGGCAGCACAGUAAGAGCUUGCUCUUACGGGUGGCGAGUGGCGGACGGGUGAGGAAUACAUCGGAAUCUACUUUUUCGUGGGGGAUAACGUAGGGAAACUUACGCUAAUACCGCAUACGACCUACGGGUGAAAGCAGGGGAUCUUCGGACCUUGCGCGAUUGAAUGAGCCGAUGUCGGAUUAGCUAGUUGGCGGGGUAAGGCCCACCAAGGCGACGAUCCGUAGCUGGUCUGAGAGGAUGAUCAGCCACACUGGAACUGAGACACGGUCCAGACUCCUACGGGAGGCAGCAGUGGGGAAUAUUGGGCAAUGGGCGAAAGCCUGAUGCAGCCAUACCGCGUGGGUGAAGAAGGCCUUCGGGUUGUAAAGCCCUUUUGUUGGGAAAGAAAAGCAGCAGGUUAAUACCCCGCUGUUCUGACGGUACCCAAAGAAUAAGCACCGGCUAACUUCGUG
rnacentral:rRNA from 1 species